UAAAGUCAAGUUUCACUUUAUUUAAACUGAUAAAUGGAUUCACAGUCAUUUAUUUAUAGUCAGGUCGUAUAUCGAUGAUCAGUACUCCGUAUUCCGUUGUAUCAUGUUUGUACUCUGUGUUUCGUUGUAUCAUAUUGUAUCGUACUCCGUGUUUGUAUUAUCAUGUUCAGUCGUGCAUUUGAACUUGUUUUGUAGAUAGAAGACGUUUUCAUUGGUCAGUUAUCUUCAUGCACAAAUAACAACUUUUGGCGCGAACUAACAAUUGCACGGCCCUCUAUUCUUCAUUUCUUGAGAAUCAUUGUCCGAGUGAACGCAAGUUACUCUAGAACUAUUGUUAUACUGUAGUAAUUUAAUGUCCUUACCUUUGGACAAUUUACUAUGUCAUAAGUGUACCUUUGCUAGUCGAUUCUGGUUUUUCUCUACACGUACUAUACUGGUACUGUCCAAUAAAUUGAAGAAACCUCAAAA
rnacentral:lncRNA from 1 species